rnacentral:rRNA from 1 species
ACUCCUACGGGAGGCAGCAGUGGGGAAUAUUGGACAAUGGGCGCAAGCCUGAUCCAGCAAUGCCGCGUGUGUGAAGAAGGCCUUCGGGUUGUAAAGCACUUUUAUCAGGAGCGAAAUACCACGGGUUAAUACCCUAUGGGGCUGACGGUACCUGAGGAAUAAGCACCGGCUAACUUCGUGCCAGCAGCCGCGGUAAUACGAAGGGUGCAAGCGUUAAUCGGAAUUACUGGGCGUAAAGCGUGCGUAGGCGGUGACUUAAGUCUGCUGUGAAAUCCCCGGGCUCAACCUGGGAAUGGAAGUGGAUACUGGGUCGCUAGAGUGUGAUAGAGGAUGGUGGAAUUCCCGGUGUAGCGGUGAAAUGCGUAGAGAUCGGGAGGAACAUCAGUGGCGAAGGCGGCCAUCUGGAUCAACACUGACGCUGAGGCACGAAAGCGUGGGGAGCAAACAGGAUUAGAUACCCUGGUAGUCC